rnacentral:misc_RNA from 1 species
AAGUCGUAACAAGGUUUCCGUAGGUGAACCUGCGGAAGGAUCAUUAACACGUAUCCAACGUUAAACCCCCUGUGAACCUUCAUUGUACGAGUUACAUCCACGUCAUAAACCGGCAAUCUCUGGUAAAUCAUAGCCCGGAAAGUUGUAGUGAUUCAGAGACCUCUGGCUACGUGCGAACAUUGGAACAGAUACAAUCGAGCGGUAGUUCUAUAGGCAAUGUUUCUCCAAGCAGUCAGUGUCGGAAAGUGUCAUUGAUUGUGCAAGGAUAGCGCUUCUACGAUUCAGGAGCUUUGCCAAAGGGUCCCCAUGCCCCCUAACCCCACAGUUUAAUGUGAAGCUCAAUGUAAUACAUUGGGUAAAAAAACCGAACAACUGUUAACAAUGGAUAUCUUGGUUCUC